GCGGUUGUAGCGCAGUUGGUAGCGCGUCUCCUUGCCUAGGAGAAGGUCGCCGGUUCGAAUCCGGUCAGCCGCU
rfam:Micromonospora lupini str. Lupac 08 genomic scaffold, 1951_scaffold4